CCUACGGGUGGCAGCAGUGAGGAAUAUUGGUCAAUGGACGCAACUCUGAACCAGCCAAGUAGCGUGCAGGAUGACGGCCCUAUGGGUUGUAAACUGCUUUUAUGCGAGGGUAAACUGGGUCACGUGUAGCUUGUUGCAGGUACCGCAUGAAUAAGGACCGGCUAAUUCCGUGCCAGCAGCCGCGGUAAUACGGAGGGUCCAGGCGUUAUCCGGAUUUAUUGGGUUUAAAGGGAGCGCAGGCCGCCCCUUAAGCGUGUUGUGAAAUGCCCGGGCUUAACCGGGGUACUGCAGCGAGUACUGUGGGUCUAGAGAGUGCAUGAGGUAGGCGGAAUGUGUGGUGUAGCGGUGAAAUGCUUAGAUAUC
rnacentral:rRNA from 1 species